GACGAACGCUGGCGGCGUGCCUAAUACAUGCAAGUAGAACGCUGAAGCUUGGUGCUUGCCCCGAGCGGAUGAGUUGCGAACGGGUGAGUAACGCGUAGGUAACCUGCCUGGUAGCGGGGGAUAACUAUUGGAAACGAUAGCUAAUACCGCAUAAGAGUAGAUGUUGCAUGACAUUUGCUUAAAAGGUGCAAUUGCAUCACUACCAGAUGGACCUGCGUUGUAUUAGCUAGUUGGUGAGGUAACGGCUCACCAAGGCAACGAUACAUAGCCGACCUGAGAGGGUGAUCGGCCACACUGGGACUGAGACACGGCCCAGACCCCUACGGGAGGCAGCAGUAGGGAAUCUUCGGCAAUGGACGGAAGUCUGACCGAGCAACGCCGCGUGAGUGAAGAAGGUUUUCGGAUCGUAAAGCUCUGUUGUAAGAGAAGAACGAGUGUGAGAGUGGAAAGUUCACACUGUGACGGUAUCUUACCAGAAAGGGACGGCUAACUACGUG
rnacentral:rRNA from 1 species